UACAGAGACUGCAAGCGUUAUUCGGAUUCACUGGGCGUAAAGGGUGCGCAGGCGGCCAAGUGUGUUAGGCGUGAAAGCCCGAGGCUUAACCCCGGAAUUGCACCUAAAACUACAUGGCUAGAGCAUUGGAGAGGGUAGCGGAAUUCACGGUGUAGCAGUGAAAUGCGUAGAUAUCGUGAGGAACACCAGAGGCGAAGGCGGCUACCUGGACAAUUGCUGACGCUCAGGCACGAAAGCGUGGGGAGCAAAAGGG
rnacentral:rRNA from 1 species